UUGUAUCACUACGGACCGAUCAUAAAAACAACUACCAAAAUGUUCAAAUAUAUGCUUUUUGCUGCUUUUUUGGCUCUCACCGCGGCCAAGCCUCUUGUAGUGGAAUAUCCGGUGGCGUCCGUUGCCACCUACUCGUCCCCGGUUGCCGUUGAAUAUACUGCCCCGUACUACUACCCCGGAUACGCUGCAGCGUACGACCACUAUGACUACGCAACCUAUACCUACCCUUAUAGUUACGACUACUAUGUACGCUAAUUUAAAUAUUGACUGCAGCUGCCAGAUGUAAUUAUGACACCAAAUAUAUUUAUUCACACA